rnacentral:rRNA from 1 species
UACGGAGGGGGCAAGCGUUAUUCGGAAUUAUUGGGCGUAAAGGGCGCGUAGGCGGCUAGAUGUGGCAAAGGGGAAAUCCCUCGGCUCAACUGAGGAACUGCCUUUGAAACUGUCUGGCUUGAGGCCGGGAGAGGGUAGCGGAAUUCCCAGUGUAGCGGUGAAAUGCGAAGAUAUCGGGAGGAACACCGGUGGCGAAGGCGGCGACCUGGGUAGAUACUGACGCUGAGGUACGAAAGCGUGGGGAGCAAACAGG